rnacentral:misc_RNA from 1 species
UUACUAGCAACGCCUUUUACUAGAAAGACAGUCUGCUUGUCCUUUCUUCUUUUUUUAAAUAAAUGUUCUUCCUCCUCCUCCUCCUCCCAACGCUAUUUGGUGUUGUCCGUGUUGUCUUUGUAGCUGCGCAACGCGGAGCACCACCAGAGAAUGUGUUCUCAGUCUGGUAAAUUGCCGCAUCGCGGGCAAGUGUAUGUAGCCAAGGCUUCGGGAAAUAUUUUGCUUAUUAAUAAGGGUUUGGAAUAGGUACCCGUCAGCAAGAGCCUCAGGGUGGUACAUAAACGUUUGUUGAAAGCAGUUGAAAGUUAACGCGAGUAGUGGCGCCCUCUAGAUAAACAGACGCAGGCGGCGCCUACGGAACCUAUGCUUUCGCCAGUUUCGCCACUUUCGCUCUUUGCAGCACAUAACAGGUGUUCGGGUGUUCUGCGACAUGCUGAGUCUGUCAGAUGGAGCGGUAGCUGCGGCGCUUUUUAAAGCACGCCGGGAGAAAACUCGUGCAUGUGUGUUAAAACCGCUUAUAUCGCAUCACUGGGCGAACCGGUCGAACGCAGUGUAGCCAGCGUAGCGUGGUUAACGUCGCAACCAAUAAAAUGGAGUGCGCGAACGGUUACCGCUAUAGUUGAGAUGCCUCGGCGGCCACUUACUGCCGAGCAGCGCGAAGAGCGUAAGAAGCGUAAAGCUGCUGCAGCACGGCGUCGUUAUGCUGCCAAGACUGGUGCUGAGCGGGAGCGGCGUUUGGAGCAGAUGCGCCAAGCGACGAGUCGUUGGCGGUUGCAGGAACAGCUAGAAACGCCUGGAUUGCUAACGUCGAUUAUGCGGGCAGAGAAACGCGAAAAGCGCCUGGCACAAGAGCGAGAAGCGGCCAGUAUGCCGGCAGAAGAGUUCGAAAAGCAUGCGGCACAAACGCGAGAAGCUGCGAGGCGUCAUGCAUCGAAUAGGUCGGCAGAAGAGCGUGCGCGUCUCUUGGCGCAGAUAAAAGUUAGUAAGCAAAAACAGGUUCAGCGACGGACGCAGCAGCGCCCGCCAAUAUCGACAGCGGCAGUCGACAGCCACACGCCUUCCCUCAAGCUUGAAGAUGUCGCCAUGCCAAGAAGGCACCUGGCAACUGACACAACUCAGUUUCAGCGAGCCCAACAAAACGAGGAUGGCCAAUUAACAACAAGAGAGCAUGCCGCAGCAGUUCCGAAAGCUUCAAGUGCUGUAACGCGGCAGGCUCAAUGCCAUGACAAAGCCGGUGGACAGUCACCACAGGCAUCAGACGUGGCAGAACACAAGAGCAGUCAAGGCCUUAUGGACUUGGCGCCUGUACAUGGGCACUUCAAUCUUCGUGUACCAGUUACCUCUCAAAUGGCAGCGAAAGUGAAGUUCAGUGAGAAAUGGGGGUCACGCAAGCUUAAUGUUUCUGUUGUGGAAGCAGCUUUACGACGUAGCGGCUUGACCAGGCCUCUCUCGGACUAUGCUAUCGUCUUUGUUCCAAAUGCAUCAAUGGCCAACCCAGUUAAAUUGGAUGCUUCCGAUGGCACUCCUGCUGUUUGUCGGGUGUGUACCAGGACCUGUGAAGCUGUCAUCGUCCUGAGAGUGCAAGGCAUGGCUACAUGCCAGGUUCUUCACACGAGAUUUCGCAUGCUGGUUCAAACCUACUUAAGAACUUGUGAAUCUCCUCUACAACGCACACAAACAAGAGGAAGCAACCUGGUCGCUGCAGCAGGCGUGGAAAUGUGCCUGUCGAAUCUGCGAAAGCCGUGCAGACGGAGGCCACGGGGUCGUUCCCCGGCCGUGUGGACGUUGCAGUUGGGACAUCCAGAGUAGUUGACAGGGAUGUGUGCAAGUCAGCCCAGACAUCGCUUGCUGCUGAGAAAGUGCACGUGUGGACAGAAACUGUGGACCUUGAUGCCCAGGACAGUGGCCCCUGUGUGGGAAAGAUUUCAGAACUUUCUAGUCCACAGAAGUUUGAAGAUGGCUUAUGACAAACAAGAUAUAUUUGUGCCAGAGCCAGUUAUGUGUCGGAAACUGAGGCCAGUCCUCAAGAACCAAUUCCUCUGAAGCCAUUUAUUUGACAUGUGCAAGCCAUUGCAAUGAGCGGGCCUUCAGAAACACGAUGCUGGAGAAGUCUUCAGGGGAGAACAUGGCUGCCUGGUUUAUUGUGCUCGUGGUUCACUUGUACAUUAAUGGCGAGUCAAGCUAGUCAAUUAAAUAUCACCUCGCUAAGAUGCAUCAAACCGAUGGCCUGUUCAUGUGAUAAUGCUGCUGCCACCUGGCCUUCGGUUAUUGCAUUACACCAAGGCUGACCAGCCACAGUGAAGAUGUAAGAUCUUGUUAGUCAAGUUAGCUGACCCAGGAUUGGCUUCCUUUUUGUAUGUGCAUGGCUUGAAAGCACUGAAAUGGUAGGCAAACAUUUGUCCUUAUGCUCCAGCUUUUCCUUUAGCCAAGAGUUUCUCAGAGUGUGACAUUUCAUGAAACUGGGCUCAUUAAUACUCAUGCUUCUAGCAGUUUCAUUUUUUCUCACAAAAACUGCACAUGUUCAUUUUGUGUAUAUAUAUAUAUAUAUAUACAGGUUCACAAGUCUUGCAAGACCCGGUACCUCGAAAAGUCGAAAUACUUUUUUUCUGCAUUUACUAUUUACGUUAAGAUUCAUUCAUGGACAUUUCUCUGAAGUGCUUGAUGUUUAAGGUUGUUUUUCGAGUGUGCGUCUCCUUAAUAAUGUAUUUUGCACUGGCAAAAGCACACUGCUUACUGCGUUUGUUUACUCAUCGUGUAAGGAAUGCAUAUAAUUUAUUUAAAAAGAACUUCUGAGCACUGUGAUUGUUUUCAUUCUGUAGAUUUAUACUGCCAUGUAUAUUUAUAUUUAUGCAGUGUUAAUAAACUUGAAGCCAUUCAUGGUGCAAUGAAAUAAAAUUGUGCUGACUUGGAAA